UCUUAGGAUCGCUGGACAAAUGGGAGCGCCUGACGGUGGCCGAUGCGCUAGAGACGGUCCAGUUUGAGGAUGGAGAGAAAAUUGUGGUCCAGGGGGAGCCGGGGGACGACUUUUUCAUCAUCACAGAGGGCACGGCUUCCGUCCUUCAGCGUAGGUCCGACAAAGAGGAAUAUGUAGAGGUUGGACGCCUGGGGCCAUCCGAUUAUUUUGGGGAGAUCGCCCUCCUGCUCAACAGGCCCAGGGCCGCUACGGUGGUGGCCCGCGGCCCCUUGAAGUGCGUGAAGCUGGACCGCCCCCGCUUCGAACGCGUCCUGGGCCCUUGCUCCGAAAUCCUCAAGAGGAACAUCCAGAGAUACAACAGUUUCAUCUCUCUCACGGUCUAGAGCCCUCUUUGGCUCAUCCUUUUACGUUUAAACUUGUGCACUUAAAAAAAAAACAGGAAAGAAAGAAAGCGAUCUGUGGUGGUUCGUAGCUUUACGAAGGAAAGCAGAGGCACAUUUAUUUUACGCAGAUGUUUUUCAGUGUUGACGUCCCGUGCAUUAGAUGUUCAAUCGCUGUGUAUUGUUAAGAAGACAGCAGGUAGCUGGUUGUCAGUGAUUUUAUGGAAAACGUUAGAUUUUAUCGUUCUGCACUUUGAGUUAAACUCCAGAUUUAUGCCUCCCUGAUUUCUCCAAACUUCCCACCACCCGAUGUAACAUUUCCAGAUCUUUUCACUGUGCAGUGCAGAAACCACUUUCCUGUGUGCCUCAAUUUUUAUUUCUCCUGACAAACUACGUCCAACUCUCACUUCUCUAGAACAACGUAGGGUACUCAUUCAUGUGGAACAUUCUCAUCUAGCGAGACUACAUAACCCAUGUGAUGAUUGGGCAUUGAUGGCCCCAUGGCCCCAGGUAGCAUUGCAGAACUAGCCCAUUAAGAUUUCCAGACAUUGCCCCAAAUAGGUGACCGAAGGUGGCUCAGUGGCUAAGACCCUGAGCUUGUCGAUCAGAAAGGUCGGCGGUUCGGCGGUUCGAAUCCCUAGCG